rnacentral:lncRNA from 1 species
CGAGUCAAUCAACUCAGCAGCAAGCUUGAAGGCCAAGGGAGCAAACGGCGAGCAAGCUCCCUUCUGACACAACCCCUUUUAAUCUGGAGUAUUACCAGAAGAUGCUAUCCACAGUUAGGGUUGGUCCUCCCUCAUCCAUUAAAGCAAUCAGCUGGGGUCGUUCUUCAGGUGAGGCUCCUCAUUCAGGAGAUUCUAAUUUACAGGAGUUGACAUGAAGCCAAGCACGGAGCAGGAGAAAUGGCUCUGGAGGUAAGGACACUUGCCCAGAUGAUGAGUUGAGUCAUAUCCUCAGUACCCAUCCAGUGGAAAGAGAGAACCAACAGACUAUACUCCAGUUUUCACAGGCAUGACACAACACAUCUAAGCUCAUAUUCCCUAUCCCCACCAACAUAAUA